GACGAACGCUGGCGGCGUGCUUAACACAUGCAAGUCGAACGGAAAGGCCCUGCUUUUGUGGGGUGCUCGAGUGGCGAACGGGUGAGUAACACGUGAGUAACCUGCCCUUGACUUUGGGAUAACUUCAGGAAACUGGGGCUAAUACCGGAUAGGAGCUCCUGCUGCAUGGUGGGGGUUGGAAAGUUUCGGCGGUUGGGGAUGGACUCGCGGCUUAUCAGCUUGUUGGUGGGGUAGUGGCUUACCAAGGCUUUGACGGGUAGCCGGCCUGAGAGGGUGACCGGCCACAUUGGGACUGAGAUACGGCCCAGACGCCUACGGGAGGCAGCAGUGGGGAAUAUUGCACAAUGGGCGGAAGUCUGAUGCAGCAACGCCGCGUGCGGGAUGACGGCCUGCGGGUUGUAAACCGCUUUCGCCUGUGACGAAGCGUGAGUGACGGUAAUGGGUAAAGAAGCACCGGCUAACUACGUG
rnacentral:rRNA from 1 species